rnacentral:rRNA from 1 species
CUCGUAGGUGGCCAACUAAGUCAGACGUGAAAUCCCUCAGCUUAACUGGGGAACUGCGUCUGAUACUGGAUGGCUUGAGUUUGGGAGAGGGAUGCGGAAUUCCAGGUGUAGCGGCGAAAUGCGUAGAUAUCUGGAGGAACACCGGUGGCGAAGGCGGCAUCCUGGACCAACACUGACACUGAGGAGCGAAAGCCAGGGGAGCAAACG